rnacentral:misc_RNA from 1 species
GUGAAUCAUCGAAUUUUUGAACGCAAAUUGCACUCUCUUCGGAGAGUAUGCCUGUUUGAGGGUCAGCCUCAAAAAAAUCGACAUAGUCGCUGUUUCGCGGUGACAUUCGUCGGGAAUUGGGUCAUCUUUAACCUUUUGGUUUUAAGCGGCUAACUAUUUUCUUUACGUUUCCCCUAUCAU